rnacentral:rRNA from 1 species
GACGAACGCUGGCGGCGUGCUUAACACAUGCAAGUCGUACGGUAAGGCCCUUUCGGGGGUACACGAGUGGCGAACGGGUGAGUAACACGUGAGUAACCUGCCCACAACUUUGGGAUAACGCUAGGAAACUGGUGCUAAUACUGGAUAUGUGCUCCUGCUGCAUGGUGGGGGUUGGAAAGCUCCGGCGGUUGUGGAUGGACUCGCGGCCUAUCAGCUUGUUGGUGGGGUAGUGGCCUACCAAGGCGGCGACGGGUAGCCGGCCUGAGAGGGUGACCGGCCACAUUGGGACUGAGAUACGGCCCAGACUCCUACGGGAGGCAGCAGUGGGGAAUAUUGCACAAUGGGCGCAAGCCUGAUGCAGCAACGCCGCGUGCGGGAUGAUGGCCUUCGGGUUGUAAACCGCUUUCAGCAGGGACGAAGCUUUUUGUGACGGUACCUGCAGAAGAAGCACCGGCUAACUACGUG